AGGUGCUUUCAUACCAGCACUAAUGCACUGGAUCCCAUCAGAACAACGCAGUUAAGCGUGCUUGAACGAGAGUAGUACUAGGAUGGGUUACCUCCUUGGAAGUCCUCGUGAUGCACCUC
rnacentral:rRNA from 2 species